rnacentral:rRNA from 1 species
CACGUAGGCGGAUUGGCAAGUCAGAUGUGAAAGCCCGGGGCUUAACCCCGGAAUUGCAUUUGAUACUGCCUGUCUUGAGUAUGGUAGAGGGGGGUGGAAUUCCCGGUGUAGAGGUGAAAUUCGUAGAUAUCGGGAGGAACACCAGAGGCGAAGGCGACCCCCUGGGCCAUUACUGACGCUGAGGUGCGAAAGCGUGGGGAGCAAACA